CCUACGGGUGGCAGCAGUGAGGAAUAUUGGUCAAUGGGCGCGAGCCUGAACCAGCCAAGUAGCGUGAAGGAUGAAUGCCCUACGGGUUGUAAACUGCUUGUAUAAAGGAAUAAAGUGAGGCACGUGUGCCAUUUUGUAUGUACUUUAUGAAGAAGGAUCGGCUAACUCCGUGCCAGCAGCCGCGGUAAUACGGAGGAUCCGAGCGUUAUCCGGAUUUAUUGGGUUGAAAGGGAGCGUAGAUGGGUUGUUAAGUCAGUUGUGAAAGUUGGCGGCUCAACCGUAAAAUUGCAAUUGAUACUGGCAUCCUUGAGUCCAGUUGCGGUAGGCGGCAUUCGUGUUGUAGCGGU
rnacentral:rRNA from 1 species